rnacentral:miRNA from 15 species
AAGUGCUUCCAUGUUUCAGCGG